CAGCAGCCGCGGUAAUACGUAGGUCUCGAGCGUUGUCCGGAUUUAUUGGGCGUAAAGCGAGCGCAGGCGGUUAGAUAAGUCUGAAGUUAAAGGCUGUGGCUUAACCAUAGUACGCUUUGGAAACUGUUUAACUUGAGUGCAAGAGGGGAGAGUGGAAUUCCAUGUGUAGCGGUGAAAUGCGUAGAUAUAUGGAGGAACACCGGUGGCGAAAGCGGCUCUCUGGCUUGUAACUGACGCUGAGGCUCGAAAGCGUGGGGAGCAAACAGGAUUAGAUACCCGGGUAGUCCCUGUCUCUUAUACA
rnacentral:rRNA from 1 species